CGGGCUGUGGCGCAGCUUGGUUAGCGCGUCGGUCUGGGGGACCGAAGGUCCCGGGUUCAAAUCCCGGCAGCCCGACCA
rnacentral:tRNA from 3 species